CAUAGGUUAAUGAGGCGAACCGGGGGAACUGAAACAUCUAAGUACCCCGAGGAAAAGAAAUCAACCGAGAUUCCCCCAGUAGCGGCGAGCGAACGGGGAGGAGCCCAGAGCCUGAAUCAGUGUGUGUGUUAGUGGAAGCGUCUGGAAAGGCGCGCGAUACAGGGUGACAGCCCCGUACACAAAAAUGCACAUAUUGUGAGCUCGAUGAGUAGGGCGGGACACGUGGUAUCCUGUCUGAAUAUGGGGGGACCAUCCUCCAAGGCUAAAUACUCCUGACUGACCGAUAGUGAACCAGUACCGUGAGGGAAAGGCGAAAAGAACCCCGGCGAGGGGAGUGAAAAAGAACCUGAAACCGUGUACGUACAAGCAGUGGGAGCCUCUUAAUGGGGUGACUGCGUACCUUUUGUAUAAUGGGUCAGCGACUUAUAUUCUGUAGCAAGGUUAACCGAAUAGGGGAGCCGAAGGGAAACCGAGUCUUAACUGGGCGUUAAGUUGCAGGGUAUAGACCCGAAACCCGGUGAUCUAGCCAUGGGCAGGUUGAAGGUUGGGUAACACUAACUGGAGGACCGAACCGACUAAUGUUGAAAAAUUAGCGGAUGACUUGUGGCUGGGGGUGAAAGGCCAAUCAAACCGGGAGAUAGCUGGUUCUCCCCGAAAGCUAUUUAGGUAGCGCCUCGUGAAUUCAUCUCCGGGGGUAGAGCACUGUUUCGGCAAGGGGGUCAUCCCGACUUACCAACCCGAUGCAAACUGCGAAUACCGGAGAAUGUUAUCACGGGAGACACACGGCGGGUGCUAACGUCCGUCGUGAAGAGGGAAACAACCCAGACCGCCAGCUAAGGUCCCAAAGUCAUGGUUAAGUGGGAAACGAUGUGGGAAGGCCCAGACAGCCAGGAUGUUGGCUUAGAAGCAGCCAUCAUUUAAAGAAAGCGUAAUAGCUCACUGGUCGAGUCGGCCUGCGCGGAAGAUGUAACGGGGCUAAACCAUGCACCGAAGCUGCGGCAGCGACACUAUGUGUUGUUGGGUAGGGGAGCGUUCUGUAAGCCUGUGAAGGUGGCCUGUGAGGGUUGCUGGAGGUAUCAGAAGUGCGAAUGCUGACAUAAGUAACGAUAAAGCGGGUGAAAAGCCCGCUCGCCGGAAGACCAAGGGUUCCUGUCCAACGUUAAUCGGGGCAGGGUGAGUCGACCCCUAAGGCGAGGCCGAAAGGCGUAGUCGAUGGGAAACAGGUUAAUAUUCCUGUACUUGGUGUUACUGCGAAGGGGGGACGGAGAAGGCUAUGUUGGCCGGGCGACGGUUGUCCCGGUUUAAGCGUGUAGGCUGGUUUUCCAGGCAAAUCCGGAAAAUCAAGGCUGAGGCGUGAUGACGAGGCACUACGGUGCUGAAGCGACAAAUGCCCUGCUUCCAGGAAAAGCCUCUAAGCAUCAGGUAACAUCAAAUCGUACCCCAAACCGACACAGGUGGUCAGGUAGAGAAUACCAAGGCGCUUGAGAGAACUCGGGUGAAGGAACUAGGCAAAAUGGUGCCGUAACUUCGGGAGAAGGCACGCUGAUAUGUAGGUGAAGCGACUUGCUCGUGGAGCUGAAAUCAGUCGAAGAUACCAGCUGGCUGCAACUGUUUAUUAAAAACACAGCACUGUGCAAACACGAAAGUGGACGUAUACGGUGUGACGCCUGCCCGGUGCCGGAAGGUUAAUUGAUGGGGUUAGCGGUAACGCGAAGCUCUUGAUCGAAGCCCCGGUAAACGGCGGCCGUAACUAUAACGGUCCUAAGGUAGCGAAAUUCCUUGUCGGGUAAGUUCCGACCUGCACGAAUGGCGUAAUGAUGGCCAGGCUGUCUCCACCCGAGACUCAGUGAAAUUGAACUCGCUGUGAAGAUGCAGUGUACCCGCGGCAAGACGGAAAGACCCCGUGAACCUUUACUAUAGCUUGACACUGAACAUUGAGCCUUGAUGUGUAGGAUAGGUGGGAGGCUUUGAAGUGUGGACGCCAGUCUGCAUGGAGCCGACCUUGAAAUACCACCCUUUAAUGUUUGAUGUUCUAACGUGGGCCCCUUACCGGGGUUGCGGACAGUGUCUGGUGGGUAGUUUGACUGGGGCGGUCUCCUCCUAAAGAGUAACGGAGGAGCACGAAGGUUGGCUAAUCCUGGUCGGACAUCAGGAGGUUAGUGCAAUGGCAUAAGCCAGCUUGACUGCGAGCGUGACGGCGCGAGCAGGUGCGAAAGCAGGUCAUAGUGAUCCGGUGGUUCUGAAUGGAAGGGCCAUCGCUCAACGGAUAAAAGGUACUCCGGGGAUAACAGGCUGAUACCGCCCAAGAGUUCAUAUCGACGGCGGUGUUUGGCACCUCGAUGUCGGCUCAUCACAUCCUGGGGCUGAAGUAGGUCCCAAGGGUAUGGCUGUUCGCCAUUUAAAGUGGUACGCGAGCUGGGUUUAGAACGUCGUGAGACAGUUCGGUCCCUAUCUGCCGUGGGCGCUGGAGAACUGAGGGGGGCUGCUCCUAGUACGAGAGGACCGGAGUGGACGCAUCACUGGUGUUCGGGUUGUCAUGCCAAUGGCACUGCCCGGUAGCUAAAUGCGGAAGAGAUAAGUGCUGAAAGCAUCUAAGCACGAAACUUGCCCCGAGAUGAGUUCUCCCUGACUCCUUGAGAGUCCUGAAGGAACGUUGAAGACGACGACGUUGAUAGGCCGGGUGUGUAAGCGCAGCGAUGCGUUGAGCUAACCGGUACUAAUGAACCGUGAGGCUUAACCUUACAACGCCGAAG
rnacentral:rRNA from 2 species